GGUCCCCCAGCCGGCGGCUCGGCCGAGGCCGCUCGUGUGGAGCUGAGACCCAGUUAUUUCGCCACAAGAGACAGUACUUCUCCGUCCUGGGUGUCCUCUGUGGUGAUGCGUCACCCCCUCAGUCCUCGCCCGACACCCCGCACCCAGACUCCCUCACGUCUGUGAGCACAGCCCUGGGAGAGGCAGGGGGACCCCGCCGGCGCUAGCGCGCAGCCAUCAGCUGUGGAGCGACCGCUGCGAGCCCAGCAAGCACCGUUCUCUUAGGGCCUGGACUGCGGUGCAGCAGGAUGGAUGCAUUUCCUCAGACCUGCUGUGAGCAGCGCAAAUACCCCAGGGAGUGUGAUAUUGCUCCUGGCUUUGAUAAUGCAAUGGAGUUAACCGUUAACCGUCUUCAGGACUAGAGUGGUUGAGUAGCAGGUGCUAGGCUUAAGGACCCAAGAACAAAGCCCUGGUGGCACCCUAAAAGCAAAGGCACCUCUGUAGGACAACUCCUGACUCAAGCCCAGAUCUCUCCAGGGGACAGAUGACGUGUCCUCAAAACCAACGCUUCCUUCAAAAUAACAUUCUUAGUGUACAAAAGCUGCUGGGCAGAAUUCUAGCUCUGCAGGUAGAAAAUAAAAAAAAACGUAAGAAUGAGGAACUGACAGGCGCACAGAGUAAUGAUUGCGGAGCUUUGUGUCUGUGGGGUAGACACAGGCCCACCCUGCAGAGUGCAGGGCUGCCUCACUGAACCUGGUGAGAGAGAAACUGCCACCCAUCAGGGUGGACAGCUGGGAGUCUCCGCCUUCACACUCAAAAACGAAGCCCCACAAAAACUAGAGCACUCCCCCUGGCAGCUGACUCACCACCGGACAAUAGCGGAGACAAAGCAAAGAUGUAAAUCUCAUUUUAUACCUCCCUGGCAGGCUCCGUUCAACUCUUACAAUAGAAAGGCUACUAGGACGCUGGUUCCAGGACAUACACAGUGUCUCAGUGCUCCUGACACUUUCAAGAGAGGACUUUUCCUUCAUGUGAUGACUCAGAAUUACAGAAGCUGCUCCACCUUGACCUGAAAUCAAAGCCCAGGACAGAGCCAGGAGGAAAUGGUGCUGACGUGGGCAAGGGGCCUGGAAUGCUAGCAGCUGGGGCUGAGGGCGCCUCAGCCUAACAAAGGGGCAGUACAACAACCAGGCUGCACCAAUAGAUUUCCAGUAUUUCUCUGAGGACUCCGCGGGAUGUGGGCCAUGCUGUCUUCCGUUCCACGUGGCGGAACACUCCCCCGUCUACCAAAGAGGAAACUGGGGCACAGAGAGGGAUCAAGAGAGAGAAAGUCAAUCAAGCCAUGAAACGAAACAGAAAAAGACCCAACUUCCCGACCUUCCAGUCCUACACUGUUCUUGGGGUUUGGCUCCGACCACUAAGAUGAUGGGAUCUUAGGAAUGAGGAUGAGCGGUGGUGAGAUUCUGGCACAAAUCCCCAAAGACCAUUCAGGAAGAAUGGCUCUUCUAAUGAGACAGCCUUGCUUGGGCGCAGUGGGACAAUUCCCUCUCCUGGGCUGGCCCCUUUUCCACUUUUCCUUUUCGCCACAUCAAUAAAGUUUCUCUUUCGUGUGA